ACCCCAGGCACCUGCUUCCUUCGCUGGUGCCUGGAACCGGCCCUGGUCCUCUGUAAUGUGUAUUUUUGUUUUUUUCUUUUUGUUUGUUUCCUUAGGGACUUCCUAAAACUUCUUAGGGAAAGUAAUUGGUAAGAAGAUUGUGACCCCAUAGUUUGUAUCUCCCUCUGGACCCUGGAAGUGCUACUUGGUGAUGGAUAAAGGCAACGUGCCUGCAGACCAGGACCAAAGUUCUGUCUCCUACCAUGAAAUUUUGACUGUCAGAUAGAAUGGAAGAAAUGUGUGGUGACAUCAAAGGUCGAGGCUGGGUAGAGAAACUGGAAUGGUUCUUCCACUGUCAAC